rnacentral:rRNA from 1 species
UACGUAGGGUGCGAGCGUUUAAUCGGAAUUACUGGGCGUAAAGCGUGCGCAGGCGGUGAGCUGUGUCCGAUGUGAAAGCCCCGGGCUUAACCUGGGAAUGGCAUUGGAAACUGGCUCGCUGGAGUGUGGCAGAGGGGGGUGGAAUUCCGCGUGUAGCAGUGAAAUGCGUAGAUAUGCGGAGGAACACGAUGGCGAAGGCAAUCCCCUGGACCUGUACUGACGCUCAUGCACGAAAGGCGUGGGGAGCAAACAGG